AUGACGGUGAUGGAGCUCAAGGCGCUACCGCUCGGUUUCAGGUUCCACCCCACCGACGAGGAGCUCGUCAGGCACUACCUCAAGGGGAAGAUCACGGGGCAGAUCAAGAACGAGGUCGAGGUGAUCCCGGAGAUCGACGUCUGCAAGUGCGAGCCGUGGGACCUCCCAGAUAAAGCUUUGAUCCGCUCGGAGGAUCCAGAGUGGUUCUUCUUUGCACCAAAGGACCGCAAGUAUCCCAAUGGAAGCAGGUCAAACAGGGCGACGGAGGCUGGGUACUGGAAGGCCACCGGGAAGGACAGGGUCAUCAAGUCCAAGGGCGAGAAGAAGAAGCAGCAUAUGAUUGGCAUGAAGAAGACCCUUGUGUUCCACCGAGGACGUGCCCCGAAAGGGGAGCGCACUGGUUGGAUUAUGCACGAGUACCGCACCACCGAGCCAGAGUUUGAGUCUGGCGAGCAGGGUGGUUAUGUUCUCUACCGCCUAUUUCAAAAGCAAUUGGAGAAAACUGAGCGCUCCAUUCCAGAGGAAAUGGAUAGAAGUGGCUACUCUCCCACUCCAUCUCGUUCAACUCCUGACAACAUGGAAGCAAACGAGGAAGCUAUCACACUCAUAAAUAAGGAAUUUCCUGAAUCUGGUCUGCAUGGAUGUCCAAUUGAGUUGCCAGGUACCAUUGAUACUCCGGGCACACCAGUUACAAGGUGGCUUGCAGACCGAAAUGGCAAUUCGGGGAUAGAUGAAGCAAAUGUUUUAGGCAUGCCUUUUCAUGGUAAUGUCGAUGAAAGUCCGAAGCAGGCUGAUAUGCCGGUUGGCUCUUUGGCUCACCUAAUUGAUUCACAGACGAAAAAUCUCGGGUCUCAUGAAUUUGCAACCGUUUCCGCCCCCAUGUUAUCGCUUGAUGAUGUGGAUAAGCUUCUACUUCAGUUACCUCAUAAUUCAGUGGAAGAUUUCUUGAAUGAAACAAUUGCUGAUCCAGAUGAGCAUUCAUCAACUGCAUGUAAAGUUCAGUAUGAUUCAGACACUGUUUUUAUGCAGGCUCAGGGUGAGUUGCUAUAUGAUGGUCCAAACUGGUUCGGUAAUUUUCUGUCAGAUGACACAAAUCCGCAACAAAGUGGAUUAUAUGAGAAUGCAACAUUGCUUCCUUAUGGCACUAAUCCGGAUGUACUUUCCAUGGACUCCGGCGAUGAGUCCUUGCAAGAUUUGUUCAAUAGCAUGGACGAUUCAAGUGGGCAGAAUGAUGUAUGGAGCAACGGUUUUGGAUUUAAUCCCAUGCAUCAGCAGUUACAGUCUACUGUGCAUCCGAACUAUAUAUUUUCUCAACAGGGCAUUGCACCAAGGAGGCUUCGGCUACUGGAUUCAUUGUCUGAUGUCAAUGUUGAGAGUAGAGAGAGCAUGACCAGAGAUGAACAUGAAGAUGAAGAAUCAGAUAUUGUAACUUCGAAGUAUACGAGUGAAUCUGUUGAGUCAUCUGCUGAUGUAGAUGAUUCUGAGUCAACCGGGGUUACUAUUAUGACCCGGCGCCGUGCUCUAACUAAAAGUGCGCCUUCCGACUGUGAUGACGCUCAAUCAACGGGGAUUACUAUUAUGGCCCGGCGCCCUGCUCCAAGUUCAAAUAUGCCUUCCAAUGAAGCUGAUGCUGAGGCAACAGGGAUUAAUAUUAUGAGCACAAGCACAGAUAGCUCAUUUACCACCGAACAAGGGACUGCAGUGCGAAGGUUACGGCUACAAUCAAACCUUGAUGCAGGAUCAUGUUCCAGUGUUGAUGGUGCGUCAAGUUGCAUUAUAAAACAUGGAAGUGAAAACAAAGGGCUGGAAGCUGAGAUUGAAGAGCAUGUGGACACAAACUUCCCAGACGACGCUGGCAACAGUCAUGCUGAUGAGCAAAUGUACAUGCCUGAUCAUGAAGCUAAUUCUGGUAUGAGGCUGCGGAAGACGGCAGAGAAAAGCGACAAGGAGAACAAGCAGGAGUGUGGUCUCCAGCCACAUGUGAGAGCACCAAGGAAGAGGGGAGGCUUCGCAGCACGCAUGAUCUUGCCAGUUCUGUCGGUGGCUCUUCUCGUCCUUGUCAGCGUUGGGAUCUACGGAUGGGCAUAA
rnacentral:rRNA from 1 species